rnacentral:rRNA from 1 species
AGCGAACGCUGGCGGCAGGCUUAACACAUGCAAGUCGAACGGGCACUUUCGGGUGUCAGUGGCAGACGGGUGAGUAACACGUGGGAACGUACCCUUUGGUUCGGAACAACUCAGGGAAACUUGAGCUAAUACCGGAUACGCCCUUUACGGGGAAGGUUUACUGCCGAAGGAUCGGCCCGCGUCUGAUUAGCUAGUUGGUGAGGUAACGGCUCACCAAGGCGACGAUCAGUAGCUGGUCUGAGAGGAUGAUCAGCCACACUGGGACUGAGACACGGCCCAGACUCCUACGGGAGGCAGCAGUGGGGAAUAUUGGACAAUGGGCGAAAGCCUGAUCCAGCCAUGCC